rnacentral:misc_RNA from 1 species
AACUUUUAGCAAUGGAUCUCUUGGCUUCUGUAACGAUGAAGAACGCAGUGAAAUGCGAUAACUAAUGUGAAUUGCAUUAUCUCGUGAAUCAUCGAGUCUUUGAACGCAUCUUGCACUUUUCAGGUCUCCUGAAAAGUAUACUUGUUUGAGUAUCAUAAACACACUCUCCAAGCUGUCUUGGGAAUUGAGACUUCAAGUUAGCCUGCUAGCUUGUGUCUUUUAAUUGAUAUGCUAAGCAAUUCUGUGAUCUAGCAUCACAGAGGCCUACUCAAUCAAAUGUGAGAUAAACAUCGCACAAAGUAGUUGACAGGUUAAGCUUUAAGCUACGCCUAGUGGCGAGACGCAAGUCUCAACACAACCCCUUUGAUCUGUGAUCUCAAAUCAAGUAAGAUUACCCGCUGAACUUAAGCAUAUCAAUAAGCGGAGGCU